GGCGGCGUGCCUAACACAUGCAAGUCGUACGAGAAAGGGUCCUUCGGGACCUGAGUAAAGUGGCGCACGGGUGAGUAACGCGUGGAUAAUCUGCCCUUCAGUUGGGAACAACUCAUCGAAAGGUGGGCUAAUACCGAAUAACACUGCGAGACUUUGGUCGAGCAGUCAAAGAGAGCCUCUGCUUGCAAGCCCUCGCUGAAGGAUGAGUCCGCGUACCAUUAGCUAGUUGGUAGGGUAAUGGCCUACCAAGGCGACGAUGGUUAGCUGGUCUGAGAGGAUGAUCAGCCACACUGGAACUGAGAUACGGUCCAGACUCCUACGGGAGGCAGCAGUGAGGAAUCUUGCGCAAUGGGGGCAACCCUGACGCAGCAACGCCGCGUGAGUGAGGAAGGUCUUCGGAUCGUAAAGCUCUGUCAGUUGGGAAGAAACGGCUGGAGGUCAAUACCCUUCGGUCUUGACGGUACCAACAGAGGAAGCACCGGCUAACUCCGUGCCAGCAGCCGCGGUAA
rnacentral:rRNA from 1 species